rnacentral:misc_RNA from 1 species
AUCCUCCAUCUCAUUUCUGACCUUCAACUCCUCCAGGUAGAGUCUUUCUGCCUCAGGUGUCAAUUUGAAUUGCAAUGAAAAGACCCCUUCUUCCACAAUUUCAAACACAGCGGGGAAUUUUUUCAACAAAGCAAUAAAUCGACGCCUUUUCUGAAGACCCAGUUCUCUUCUGUACCUACCCAAUUGCCUAAGCGACAUAGUUCUAUCAGGUUGAUUGACCAGAAUCUUCCUUAUCUUCAAUACUAAUUUAAGUUUCUUAUCCCUUUGAAUCACGUUAUCAAAGGGAAGCUCUUUUCGUCUCUUCACAACAGCUCUUACCGGUUCAAAUGGAGAAUGAGUUUUCCUC